rnacentral:rRNA from 1 species
UCGAGAAUUUUUCUCAAUGGGGGAAAACCCUGAAAGGAGCGACGCCGCGUGGAGGAUGAAGGUCUUCGGAUUGUAAACUCCUGUCAUUUGGGAACAAGUGCUGGCGAUUAACUGUCGUCAGCUUGAUAGUACCAGAAGAGGAAGAGACGGCUAACUCUGUGC